GACGAACGCUGGCGGCGUGCUUAACACAUGCAAGUCGAACGGAAAGGCCCUGCUUUUGUGGGGUGCUCGAGUGGCGAACGGGUGAGUAACACGUGAGUAACCUUCCCUUGACUUUGGGAUAACUUCAGGAAACUGGGGCUAAUACCGGCUAGGAGCUCCUGCUGCAUGGUGGGGGUUGGAAAGUUUCGGCGGUUGGGGAUGGACUCGCGGCUUAUCAGCUUGUUGGUGGGGUAGUGGCUUACCAAGGCUUUGACGGGUAGCCGGCCUGAGAGGGUGACCGGCCACAUUGGGACUGAGAUACGGCCCAGACUCCUACGGGAGGCAGCAGUGGGGAAUAUUGCACAAUGGGCGGAAGCCUGAUGCAGCAACGCCGCGUGCGGGAUGACGGCCUUCGGGUUGUAAACCGCUUUCGCCUGUGACGAAGCGUGAGUGACGGUAAUGGGUAAAGAAGCACCGGCUAACUACGUG
rnacentral:rRNA from 1 species